UUUAUGGAGAGUUUGAUCCUGGCUCAGAGUGAACGCUGGCGGCGUGCCUAAUACAUGCAAGUCGAACGAUGAAGCUUCUAGCUUGCUAGAAUGCUGAUUAGUGGCGCACGGGUGAGUAACGCAUAGGUCAUGUGCCUCUUAGUUUGGGAUAGCCAUUGGAAACGAUGAUUAAUACCAGAUACUCCCUACGGGGGAAAGAUUUAUCGCUAAGAGAUCAGCCUAUGUCCUAUCAGCUUGUUGGUAAGGUAAUGGCUUACCAAGGCUAUGACGGGUAUCCGGCCUGAGAGGGUGAACGGACACACUGGAACUGAGACACGGUCCAGACUCCUACGGGAGGCAGCAGUAGGGAAUAUUGCUCAAUGGGGGAAACCCUGAAGCAGCAACGCCGCGUGGAGGAUGAAGGUUUUAGGAUUGUAAACUCCUUUUGUUAGAGAAGAUAAUGACGGUAUCUAACGAAUAAGCACCGGCUAACUCCGUGCCAGCAGCCGCGGUAAUACGGAGGGUGCAAGCGUUACUCGGAAUCACUGGGCGUAAAGAGCGCGUAGGCGGGAUAGUCAGUCAGGUGUGAAAUCCUAUGGCUUAACCAUAGAACUGCAUUUGAAACUACUAUUCUAGAGUGUGGGAGAGGUAGGUGGAAUUCUUGGUGUAGGGGUAAAAUCCGUAGAGAUCAAGAGGAAUACUCAUUGCGAAGGCGACCUGCUGGAACAUUACUGACGCUGAUUGCGCGAAAGCGUGGGGAGCAAACAGGAUUAGAUACCCUGGUAGUCCACGCCCUAAACGAUGGAUGCUAGUUGUUGGAGGGCUUAGUCUCUCCAGUAAUGCAGCUAACGCAUUAAGCAUCCCGCCUGGGGAGUACGGUCGCAAGAUUAAAACUCAAAGGAAUAGACGGGGACCCGCACAAGCGGUGGAGCAUGUGGUUUAAUUCGAGGAUACACGAAGAACCUUACCUAGGCUUGACAUUGAGAGAAUCCGCUAGAAAUAGUGGAGUGUCUGGCUUGCCAGACCUUGAAAACAGGUGCUGCACGGCUGUCGUCAGCUCGUGUCGUGAGAUGUUGGGUUAAGUCCCGCAACGAGCGCAACCCCCUUUCUUAGUUGCUAACAGGUCAUGCUGAGAACUCUAAGGAUACUGCCUCCGUAAGGAGGAGGAAGGUGGGGACGACGUCAAGUCAUCAUGGCCCUUACGCCUAGGGCUACACACGUGCUACAAUGGGGUGCACAAAGAGAAGCAAUACUGCGAAGUGGAGCCAAUCUUCAAAACACCUCUCAGUUCGGAUUGUAGGCUGCAACUCGCCUGCAUGAAGCUGGAAUCGCUAGUAAUCGCAAAUCAGCCAUGUUGCGGUGAAUACGUUCCCGGGUCUUGUACUCACCGCCCGUCACACCAUGGGAGUUGUGUUUGCCUUAAGUCAGGAUGCUAAAUUAGCUACUGCCCACGGCACACACAGCGACUGGGGUGAAGUCGUAACAAGGUAACCGUAGGUGAACCUGCGGUUGGAUCACCUCCUUUCUAGA
rnacentral:rRNA from 1 species